UACGUAGGGUGCGAGCGUUAAUCGGAAUUACUGGGCGUAAAGCGUGCGCAGGCGGUUCGUUAUGUCUGUUGUGAAAGCCCCGGGCUCAACCUGGGAAUGGCAAUGGAAACUGGCGAGCUAGAGUGUGGCAGAGGGGGGUGGAAUUCCGCGUGUAGCAGUGAAAUGCGUAGAUAUCGGGAGGAACACCGGUGGCGAAGGCGGCCCCCUGGUUGGAUACUGACGCUGAGGUGCGAAAGCGUGGGGAGCAAACAGG
rnacentral:rRNA from 1 species